GUCGGCCGCGGUGAAGCCGAUUGGCCGGAGCCUCGGCCGGGAGGCAGAAACGAGACCGGUGGAUUUCGGCGAGGAGGCCGCAGCGGCCACACCGUCG
rnacentral:ribozyme from 1 species